rnacentral:tRNA from 1 species
GCUAGCGUAGCUCAGUUGGUAGAGCUACUGAUUUGUACUCAGUAGGUCGGGAGUUCGAUUCUCUCCGCUAGCUCCA